rnacentral:rRNA from 1 species
GACGAACGCUGGCGGCGUGCUUAACACAUGCAAGUCGAACGGAAAGGCCCUGCUUUUGUGGGGUGCUCGAGUGGCGAACGGGUGAGUAACACGUGAGUAACCUGCCCUUGACUUUGGGAUAACUUCAGGAAACUGGGGCUCAUACCGGAUAGGAGCUCCUGCUGCAUGGUGGGGGUUGGAAAGUGUCGGCGGUUGGGGAUGGACUCGCGGCUUAUCAGCUUGUUGGUGGGGUAGUGGCUUACCAAGGCUUUGACGGGUAGCCGGCCUGAGAGGGGGACCGGCCACAUUGGGACUGAGAUACGGCCCAGACUCCUACGGGAGGCAGCAGUGGGGAAUAUUGCACAAUGGGCGGAAGCCUGAUGCAGCAACGCCGCGUGCGGGAUGACGGGCUUCGGGUUGUAAACCGCUUUCGCCUGUGACGAAGCGUGAGUGACGGUAAUGGGUAAAGAAGCACCGGCUAACUACGUG